rnacentral:misc_RNA from 1 species
UGACCUUGGCCUGCGCUGCUUCACUUCCCGAGCAAGCGAUAUCGGGUAAAGUUGGUGUAGCUGUGGUGCGUUUUGGGAAUUUAAUUUCGAUUUCUACAAUUCGUCGCUCAUCUAACCAUGGUCAAGAUGGAUCACGACGAUGGAAAGAAUGAGCCCGAACAUGUGCGAAAAUUAUUUAUUGGUGGCUUGGACUACAGAACCACUGAUGAUUCCCUUAAAAAACAUUUCGAACAAUGGGGUGAAAUUGUCGAUGUUGUAGUUAUGAAAGAUCCAAAGACUAAGCGGUCGCGAGGCUUUGGAUUCAUUACCUACUCUCGUGCUCACAUGGUUGACGAUGCUCAAAAUGCAAGACCUCAUAGAGUAGAUGGACGUGUUGUGGAACCAAAACGUGCAGUUCCUCGUCAAGAGAUUGGAAGACCGGAGGCUGGGGCAACAGUCAAGAAGUUGUUUGUUGGCGGACUGAAAGACGACCAUGAAGAAGAAGAUCUUCGUCAGUAUUUCCAAGCGUUUGGAAGUAUUAAUUCUGUCAGCAUUGUCACAGACAAAGAAACUGGGAAGAAACGAGGUUUUGGAUUCGUUGAAUUCGAUGAUUAUGAUCCUGUGGACAAGAUCUGCCUGCAGCGUAACCAUCAAAUCUGUAACAAGCACGUUGAUGUCAAGAAGGCGUUAAGCAAAGCUGAAAUGGCUUCUGCUACUGGUGGCGGUGGCGGUGGGGGUGGCAGAGGAGGCCAAGGAGGUGGACGCGGUCCACGAGGUAGCAAUCAGGGAGGUGGCAACUGGGGAGGCCGAGGUGGCGGUGGUAGCGGAGACUGGAACAAUGGUGGAAACCAAGGUGGAUAUGGAGGAGGUAAUCAAGGCGGAUGGGGAGGCAAUGGACCUUGGGAGAACCAAAAUCAAGGGGGUGGCUGGGGAGGCCAGGGAGGACAAGGAGGCUACAACAGUGGUGGAAACUGGAGCAAUGACAACUUCGGAGGUGGUUACCAACAAGGUUAUGGUGGUGGACCCGUUCGGAACAAUUUUAAUGCUGGUGGCAGACCUGCGCCUUAUGGUGGUGGACCAAUGGGUGGCAAUACAGGCGGCGGCGGCGGUGGCGGCGGUGGCAGCGGAGGUGGUGGCGGUGGCUACGGCGGUGGUGGCGGCGGUAACCAAGGAGGAUAUGGUGGCAAUCCCGUCGGAGGUGGCAAUAUGGGCGGUGGCGGCGGUGGGAGGAGAUAUUAAACCACCCAAUGAAGUUUGUUGCGACGCUACGCUCCCUCAGAUGGUUUACCAUUUGCCGGCCGGUACAUUGAGCGUGAUCGACGUGUCUACCUGACCUCGGGGUCUCAGUUCUCGCUUGAGGAAGGAGAAUUGGUUGAUCAAAACAUACAACACCAUAUCCUGUUUCUACGAACGCAGACAUCUGUUUUCUCGUUAAUUGAUAUUUUCUGAAUCAGCUGAGUUUUCAUUCACGAGUAAUUUUUGCUUUUACCCUUCUCAACCCUGUUUGGGUUAAUUCUUUCAUCUGAAAAUGGAUUUUUGGUUCCUUGGGUCAUUUCUCCUGUACUUGUCAUCUGAAUAAAAUAUUAUUUUCAGAUUAUCACUACAUCAAUGAAAACGUAUUUAUGCAAGUGUAAGGCUAUAUUGAGUCUUUUUGUGCGAAUUCUCAAAAUUAAACUAAGGUUAACGACAGCUGGUGAACUUCUGAGUAGUAUUUACUGUGGAAAAAAACAGUAAGCACAAUGUAUGCACGAAAAAAGACCGCAGGAUCGGCAACCUAGAGCUCAUUUCUUUUUUCAUAAUGCAGUCCUUCUCACAAUUAGUCUAUUGCAUACUUUUUUUUAUUCUGUCUAGUUAUCUAUUGUUUGAAAUAUUUACAGUAUACUGUUGUCUAUUUUGUAUUGCACAAAAGUAUUAGCAUAAUCGUAGUACAUGAAGAAAACAAAACCGAAUUCAAAAUUGUGCAAUUGAAACAUGUUACUUUCACAAUAUAUGUAAAAAUUAGGUAAAAGUGUAUUCCUUCGACGCAGCCAACUUGGAGGAAUUGCAAAAGAGAAACAUUUCGUAAGUAUGUAUUGAUUGAAACGGCAAUAUCAAAUCAAGUUGCGUAUAUAAAAACAGAGACAAUUAAAAUUGGUAAAAAUCUUACAGUGCGCACUCGUUGACUGGAAGCUACCAUAUUUCUCUUGUUUUGUAAACGCAUUUGUGUACCUGUGUACCUGUGUAUCUAUUUAUGAAAGUGAAAUAAUAAAAGAAAGUAUGAAAAACA